rnacentral:tRNA from 1 species
AAUAAAAUAAUUAAGGAUAUAAAAUUAAUAUAAAUUUGCAAUUUAUAUUUUAAUUGAAUUAAUAAUCAAUUUAUCUUAAAUUU